CAAUAUAUGUGACUCUUCGGAGUUUGCAUUGUUAAAUAUGCUAGUCCUUUCAUGAUUAUGUGAUAGGUGGUGCAUGGCCGUUCUUAGUUCGUGGAGUGAUCUGUCUGCUUAAUUGCGUUUCAAAUUACUUAUAAGGUAGCAAUACGCGAUGAAGCUUUCAAUAGUCCUCACGGAUUCACUUGAGUCUCUCGCUUCGCUAUCCUUUCGAAUGCAACGAACGUGACCGCAACCUCUUGUUGCCUUCGUUUAACAUCCUGCAGCUCGCUGUGGGUACUGAGGGCUUCACUCGGUGACUUUGGGCUGAGCAAUCGGUCUUUUGAUCUGAG
rnacentral:rRNA from 1 species